rnacentral:rRNA from 1 species
CAGCAGCCGCGGGAAUACGUAGGUGGCAAGCGUUAUCCGGAAUUAUUGGGCGUAAAGCGCGCGUAGGCGGUUUUUUAAGUCUGAUGUGAAAGCCCACGGCUCAACCGUGGAGGGUCAUUGGAAACUGGAAAACUUGAGUGCAGAAGAGGAAAGUGGAAUUCCAUGUGUAGCGGUGAAAUGCGCAGAGAUAUGGAGGAACACCAGUGGCGAAGGCGACUUUCUGGUCUGUAACUGACGCUGAUGUGCGAAAGCGUGGGGAUCAAACAGGAUUAGAUACCCCCGUAGUCCCUGUCUCUUAUAC